UUAUCUCCUCUACUUCGUAAGGUUUUUAGGCAAAUGGUUUAACCCACCCCCACCUUUUAUCUGAGAAUCGCUAUAUGCUAUAUAUGUUUGUUCGGACAAAGGUCCCCAGCUAUAAUCCAGGAGUUUGAUGACCUGGAGCAGUGACCGAGUUCUCCUUCUUCCAGUUCUUUCUAGAUUAGCCAAUUUUACAAGUCUGAGAAGUCAGACCCCAACCAAGUCACCACCUGAGUUAGAACAGAAACCAAAAGUAUUUCCUGCCUUAGCCUGUUUGCUCUAUAAGCACACCCUUCGGUCAAGGGUAACGUUUGUCUUGUCCAGAUCUAUCAGUGAGGGUGGUGGCCUCUUUGUGACUCUAAGCUUAUUUCUGACAUCUGACUAGAAAAGGGCCUUUCACCAUACCUGAACUUCACCAAUUUGGCUAAAUUGGCUAGCCAUAAGCUUCACCUUCCUCCUGUCUCUGCCUCUCCAGUACCAGAAUUACAGGUUGGCCCCAAACUCUAUACUAACUUGAUGUACGGCCAAGGAUGACCUUGAACUCCUGCUUCUACCUCCCAGAUGCUGGGAUUACAGCAUCAGAGAGUGGACGUGGGUGAUGAGUCCUCCGGAAAUCAGAAGUCCAUGUGUGUCUUCCCACUUGACUGCCACUUGCUCCGAGGAAGUUGACAGGUACCAGGAGCUGAGAACCAUAACUGAGCAGGUGGGAAACACCUCUGGCCUGUCACCCGGCAGUGUCGGUCAUUUGAAACACUUCGGCUUAACUGUAAUGACAGCCUCGUUUACCUGGAAGCUGGUCGGGAUAGAAGUCCAGGAUGGCUACAUUCACACCUUGGCAGCUUGCCCGGCACCUUGGUUCUCUUCUAAAUGACCGCCCACCCUCCAGGAGGCCAGGGUUCCUGAGUGGCCAUCUCACGCAGUGCUUCAAGGGGUCACAGGCAGCAACUGUUUUCCAGGUUCUUCAGGACCCAGACAUCAGAACUCAUCCAAUGCCUAUCUUAUUGGUCAACAUAAGACCAACACCCAUGUUCAAUGGUAUGGAGAAAAACCUGCUCCGUCCUGGAUGGGAAGAACACAGAGUCACAUUAUCAAAGAGAGCCAUGCUGGAUACUUUAGUGGAGAGAAUGACGACCACUAAACAAUUACACACUCUCCUUCUCUGCCCCUCUCUCGAGCCAUCUUGGCAUUGUCUUCUUGUGGGUCACCUCUGAAAUGCAUACUUAAACGGGGAUAUUGGAAACAGUGUCUGCUGCUGGAGAAACCUAAGCCGUAAUCCACACAGCAUCAUGGGAGGCUGGGAAUCAGCCAGAGACUCAGCUCCUAGACAGGAGAUAAGGACAGGCCACGGGAGAGCCUCGUCUCUCAUCUCCAUCUCUUCUGAUAGCCCAUAGCCUUGCUUUCUCUUUCUUUAGUAAAGAUCAGUUCAGUGAGACUCUGGGAAAAUUUCCACGAACACUGGUGGGAGCCACAAGAGAAGAUCUGGAGGAUGGGCCCAUUUUUUUUAAAUGUUUUUCCAGAUAUGGAAAUAUUCUUGCUUCUAUUCUGAGGAAGAGUUCGUAUCUCCAGUUUUCUGAAUUGAAGAACACACACCACGACACUUGUGUGGACAGCAGAGGAUAGCUAACAGGGACGAGUCCGUUCUGUCUGUCCCUGAGGUGUGGGUGUCUGGGGAAUUGAACUCAGGCUGUCAAACUCAAGCUACCACUGAGCUGAAUCCCCAAGCCCCCCAAUUCAAUCUUUCAAUGGUGGGUGUUUUUUGUUUCUUUGCUCUCAAGACACGGUUUCUGUGUGUAGCUCUGGCUGUCCUGGAACUUGUUCUGUAGACCAGACUUGCCCCCAAACCCAGAUAUCUGCCUGCCUCUGCUUCCUGACCUCUGGAACUAAAGGCUAUCUUUUUUAAUUAAAAAUCAUUUUCAUCCAA
rnacentral:sRNA from 1 species